AUUGAACGCUGGCGGCAGGCUUAACACAUGCAAGUCGAGCGAGCGGCGGACGGGUGAGUAAUGUCUGGGAAACUGCCUGAUGGAGGGGGAUAACUACUGGAAACGGUAGCCAAUACCGCAUACCAUCAGAUGUGCCCAGAAGGGAUUAGCUAGUAGGUGGGGUAAUGGCUCACCUAGGCGACGAUCCCUAGCUGGUCUGAGAGGAUGACCAGCCAAACUGUAACUGAGACACGGUCAGGACUAGUAAGGGAGGCAGCAGUAGGGAAUAUUGCACAAUGGCCGCAAGCCGGAUCCAGCCAUGCAGAAUCUGUUAAGAAGGCCUUCGGAUUGAAAAGCACUUGCAGCGAGGAGUCGUUACUCGCAGAAGAAGCACCGGCUAACUCCGUGCCAGCAGCCGCGGUAAUUC
rnacentral:rRNA from 1 species